CACACUAUAGUGGUACAAGAGAGAUGGUGCAUUCCUCAAACCUCUGCCUUGACAAUGCAUAACCAACAAAGCCAGUAAGCAGCAGAACAUUCUGACAUCAGCCAACGAUGACCACAUGGUGUAUUUUCCAUGGUCUUCCUCCUUCGUACAAGGAAAGAACAGAAAUCCGGUGUGUGACUGGUAAACCCAAACAUUAAUCCAGGGAUGGGAUCCUCCAAGGUAAGAAGCCAGAAGACAGAAGCAGACAUACGAAGACCUUUCUCAACAGUGACACAAGAAAUGUUCAAGAGUUUCUUUGUUAAAGCCACCAUGUCAGAAGGAUUGGAUGUGAAUAUGAGAAUAUCCAAGACAGGUAAUCAGAAGCAGAACCUAAAAAUAUCUUGCCUGCCACCUACAGAUACACAUAGCUAAAUUCCCAUGGCUGUUUAAAUACCAUCCAAGACUGUACUCCUCUGCAUUCAUGAAAUUACCUUUAUUUUCAUGACCAUUUUCAAAGCUUAAGCUCUAUAGUUCAGGUUGAUGAGAAGUCAUCUUUGUCAGAUUUACAACAACGUUGCAAAUAUGUUUAUGAAGAUUUCCAGUGGUCCUAUUUCUACUGAAUUUGUUUGCAAUUCCAUGAGCAAUACCAAAGAAAUGCUCAUUGAGCAAUUCACAAUGUGCAAUGCACCAGGGAAUUUAUACUGCAUUGAGACACUAUUACAUUGUCUUAACUCUCGUG